CAUUGUGACCACACCUGAGUGUGAGUGCCUGAUAGUGUCUGAUCUUAGACACUAAGCAGGGCUGUGCCUGGUUAGUACUUGAAUAGGAGCCCUUCUUGGAGGAUCAGGGGCUGCUAGAC
rnacentral:rRNA from 12 species